UGCUUUGGCAUGAACUGUCAAUUUCUGCUUGGCAGGAAGGAAGGAGGAGCCUGUAUCAGCUGUAUGAAAGGAAGCUGUCAUGUAGAAUUGUUGAGGUUGGAAGAGACCUUGGAGAUCACCAAGUCUGACCACUCGCCUAGAGCUCGCACUGCUGCUAAGCCACUGCCACUAAACCACCUCCCUCGGCACCACAGCAACCUGGUUUUUAAAUACCUCCGGGGAUGGGGACUUGUCCAUGUCCCUAGGCAGCCUGAUCCAGUGCUUGAGAACUCUUUCUGUGAGAAGAGACCUCACUCCAACCACCUUUCAGGGAGCUGUAGAGAGACAGAAGCUCUCCUCUCAGCUCCCUCUUGUCCAGACUAAACAACCCCAGGUCUCUCAGGUGCUCCUCAACAGACCUGUUCUCCAGACCCUUCACCAUCUCUGCUGCCCUGGCUUUAAUUUUCAGAGGAACUCAGGCUUCUGAAUGGAAAUCACUCUUUAGCUGCUUGACUUGGAUUUAUCUCCUUUUAAUUACCUCUUGUUAGCUUUAGCAUUAUAAAAAAAAUGUAAGCACAUAUUCCUGUAAUAUUUCAUCAAGUUCUGACUAAGAGAGAAUCAGAAGUGCUCUGAAAUGCACUAUUACAAACAGGCAUCAACUCUGAGACAUUUUUGUGGUUUGGGAGAAAACUGACUUAAGUACAUACGUCUGGAAAGUCCCCCCCAAGAAGCCACUUCUGUAUUUUCAGGAAAUGAAGCAAAAAAAAAAGAGAGAGAGCCUACUGCAAUGCUUCUAUUGUCCUUUAUUUGUUUAUUUUAGCCCCAGAACAUGCAGAAAUAUGUGCUCUUAGGUGCAGUAUUUAGAGCAGAAGGCAUUGUUUGAAGAUAAAAUGGAUGUUUAUAUA